rnacentral:rRNA from 1 species
GACGAACGCUGGCGGCAUGCCUAAUACAUGCAAGUUGAACGAUGAUAUUCUCUGCUUGCAGAGAAUUGCAGAGUAGCGAACGGGUGAGUAACACGUGGGGAACCUGCCCAUGAGAGGGGGAUAACAUUCGGAAACGGAUGCUAAUACCGCAUAAUGCUUUGGACCGCCUGGUCCAGAGACGAAAGACGGCUUUUGCUGUCACUCAUGGAUGGCCCCGCGCCGUAUUAGCUAGUUGGUGAGGUAAUGGCUCACCAAAGCUGUGAUACGUAGCCGACCUGAGAGGGUGAUCGGCCACACUGGGACUGAGACACGGCCCAGACUCCUACGGGAGGCAGCAGUAGGGAAUCUUCCACAAUGGGCGAAAGCCUGAUGGAGCAAUGCCGCGUGAAUGAAGAAGGUCUUCGGAUCGUAAAGUUCUGUUAUUAGAGAAGAACAAGUCAAGGAGUAACUGUCUUGACUUUGACGGUACCUAACCAGAAAGUCACGGCUAACUACGUG